rnacentral:lncRNA from 1 species
GGAAAAAUCAGUUUAAAUAAAUAAAUAUCUCUAUAUAUUCCAUAUUUUUGUUGAGAUAAUCCAGUGUAAAAUGGAAGUUGUGGAAAAAUCAGUUUUUAUAUAUAUAUUUAUAUGUAUGUAUGUAUGUAUAUGUAUAUAUUUUCCCCAUAAUUUUGGUGAGAAAAUCCAGUUUAAAAUGGAAGUUGUGGGAAAAUCAGUUUAAAAUAGUUGUUGGGUUUUUUUUGCCAUGUUUUUGGUUAGAAAAUCUAGUGUAAAAUGGAAGCUGUGGGAAAAUCAGUUUAAAAUAAUUGUUGGGGAGUUUUUUACCAUAUUUUUGGUGGGAAAAUCCAGUUUAAAAUGGAAAUUGCUGGAAAAUGCCUUUUAAAAUAGAAAUUUUGAAAAGGGAAAAGCCUGUUUAAAAUAGUUUUGGUGGGGGUUUUUUUUCAGAAAAAAAAAAUCAUAUUUAGAAUGGAUUUUUCUUUCAUUGUUUUGGUGGGAAAAUCCAUUUUAAAGUGGAAAUCAUGGGAAAAAGCCAGUUCAAAAUGGAAAUGUUUCCCUUAUUGUUUUGGUGCAAAAAAUACAGUUCAAUUUUUUUUUAUUUUUUAUUUUUUCUAAGAUGCAGCACAAAAGGGAAUUUUCCCCCCUUUUUUUUGUGGGAGAACCAGGCUUAAAAUUGACUUUUCCCCCCCAUUUUGGUGGAAAGAUCCAUUUAAAAUUUUAUUUCCCCCUGUUUUCUGUGGAAUUCACAAUUCACCUCUCACUAUCCCAAGGCUGUCAUUGGGACUUAAGGAUAUAAAAGGCCUUUUCCAAUGUAAACAAUUCCAUGCUUUAGGGAGCUGAAAAACAGAGGAGGAUUUAAAACACAGAGGGGAAAGGAGCUGAGGGAAAUAAUAAAAAUUUCUAUAAUCUGUGGGGUUUUGAGUCUUGAGGCAGAAUUUGAUUCCCUGAAGCUGUUGGAUUUGUUUUUCCUUAGGAAUGAUGUGGAAAACACAACGGGAACAGGCACGAGAAGAGUUCCCAGAAGUUAUUUAUGAGCAGCCUGGAAAGCAAAAUAUUUUCAGCUGGGGGCACUCAGGAACAGCGUGGACGUUCAUUUGGGAUGGAUUGGAAAUUAUCCAGAGGCUUAAUUUCCCAGUGGGAACAAAGCAACCCUUUUUCUCUGGAAAACUGAGCACCAGCACAGCACACACCUCCCUGGAAAUCCAGGCUGUUCUGGGCCAUAAUCCUGCGUGAAAAGGAAGUU